rnacentral:rRNA from 1 species
UACGUAGGGGGCCAGCGUUGCUCGGAAUUACUGGGCGUAAAGGGUUCGUAGGCGGUGUAGCAAGUCGAUAGUGAAAUCUCUGGGCUCAACCCAGAGGCUGCUAACGAAACUGCUGUGCUAGAGUGUGAGAGAGGCGAGUGGAAUUACGGGUGUAGCGGUGAAAUGCGUAGAGAUCCGUAGGAACAUCCGAGGCGAAGGCGGCUCGCUGGAUCACAACUGACGCUGAGGAGCGAAAGCGAGGGGAGCAAACAGG